GCUGGCGGCGCGCUUACACAUGCAAGUCGAACGGGAAAGUGGAGCAAUCCAUGAGUAGAGUGGCGUACGGGUGAGUAACACGUGGGUAUCUACCUCUUAGUGGGGAAUAACCCUGGGAAACCGGGGCUAAUACCGCAUAAGCCUGAGAAGGGAAAGCAGCAAUGCGCUGAGAGAGGAGCCCGCGGCCGAUUAGCCAGUUGGUAGGGUAACGGCCUACCAAGGCAAAGAUCGGUAGCCGGCCUGAGAGGGCACACGGCCACACUGGCACUGAAACACGGGCCAGACUCCUACGGGAGGCAGCAGUGGGGAAUCUUGCACAAUGGGGGCAACCCUGAUGCAGCGACGCCGCGUGAGCGAUGAAGCCCUUCGGGGUGUAAAGCUCUUUCGUCAGGGAAGAUUAUGACGGUACCUGGAGAAGCAGCUGCGGCUAACUACGUGCCAGCAGCCGCGGUAAUACGUAGGCAGCGAGCGUUGUUCGGAGUUACUGGGCGUAAAGGGUGUGUANGCGGUUCUUUAAGUUUGGUGUGAAAUCU
rnacentral:rRNA from 1 species